rnacentral:rRNA from 1 species
UUAAAUUGAAGAGUUUGAUCAUGGCUCAGAUUGAACGCUGGCGGCAGGCCUAACACAUGCAAGUCGAACGGUAACAGAAAGCAGCUUGCUGCUUUGCUGACGAGUGGCGGACGGGUGAGUAAUGUCUGGGAAACUGCCUGAUGGAGGGGGAUAACUACUGGAAACGGUAGCUAAUACCGCAUAACGUCGCAAGACCAAAGAGGGGGACCUUCGGGCCU